rnacentral:tRNA from 1 species
GGGAUUAGCUCAGCUGGCUAGAGCGCCUGCCUUGCACGCAGGAGGUCAUCGGUUCGACUCCGAUAUUCUCCACUAGCAGU